CCUUGCCAGCCCGCUCAAGAACUCAAAGGAAUUGACGGGGGCCCGCACAAGCGGUAGAGUAUGUGGUUUAAUUCGAUGCAACGCGAAGAACCUUACCUGGUCUUGACAUCCCGGAGACCCUUAGGAAACUAGGGGGUGCUUCCAUCUGGAAGAAUCUGGAGACAGGUGCUGCAUGGCUGUCGUCAGCUCGUGUCGUGAGAUGUUGGGUUAAGUCCCGCAACGAGCGCAACCCUUGCCUUUAGUUGCCAGCAGUUCGGCUGGGCACUCUAAAGGGACUGCCGGUGUUAAACCGGAGGAAGGUGGGGAUGACGUCAAGUCCUCAUGGCCUUUAUGACCAGGGCUACACACGUACUACAAUGGCCGAUACAAAGGGCAGCGACACUGCGAGGUGAAGCCAAUCCCGUAAAAUCGGUCUCAGUCCGGAUUGGAGUCUGCAACUCGACUCCAUGAAGUUGGAAUCGCUAGUAAUCGUGGAUCAGCAUGCCACGGUGAAUACGUUCCCGGGCCUU
rnacentral:rRNA from 1 species